GAUGAACGCUGGCGGCGUGCCUAAUACACGCAAGUCGAGCGAACAGACGAGGAGCUUGCUCCUCUGACGUUAGCGGCGGACGGGUGAGUAACACGUGGAUAACCUACCUAUAAGACUGGGAUAACUUCGGGAAACCGGAGCUAAUACCGGAUAAUGUAUUGAACCGCAUGGUUCAAUAGUGAAAGACGGUUUUGCUGUCACUUAUAGAUGGAUCCGCGCCGCAUUAGCUAGUUGGUAAGGUAACGGCUUACCAAGGCAACGAUGCGUAGCCGACCUGAGAGGGUGAUCGGCCACACUGGAACUGAGACACGGUCCAGACUCCUACGGGAGGCAGCAGUAGGGAAUCUUCCGCAAUGGGCGAAAGCCUGACGGAGCAACGCCGCGUGAGUGAUGAAGGUCUUCGGAUCGUAAAACUCUGUUAUUAGGGAAGAACAAAUGUGUAAGUAACUAUGCACGUCUUGACGGUACCUAAUCAGAAAGCCACGGCUAACUACGUG
rnacentral:rRNA from 1 species